GUUGGAAGGAACUGUUCUAGUCCAACUCUCCCCAUCCAACACAAGGAUGCUGUGCCAUGGAGUCCAUGCUUUCUUGUGAAGAUACACAUUUCAGUGGAAGAGGCUGUUUACUCCACCUAGAAGCAGAAAUCUAGCAGGAACUCCACCUAACAUGCCAUCACCCAAAGGGCAUGGUUCAUCUUCAGAGAAUUAGGAAAUCUCCUGCAGGAGAUGUACUCCAGCCCUUAGAUCAUCUAUCUCUGUGGCCUUCCUCUGGACUCAUUUUAACAGCUCUGCAUCCUUCCUGUAUUGGGGGCCCCAAACAUGGACACAGCAUUCCAGGU